rnacentral:rRNA from 1 species
UACAGAGGGGGCAAGCGUUGUUCGGAAUUACUGGGCGUAAAGGGCGCGUAGGCGGCCUUCUAAGUCGAACGUGAAAUCCCCGGGCUCAACCCGGGAACUGCGUCCGAGACUGGAAGGCUUGAAUCCGGGAGAGGGAUGUGGAAUUCCAGGUGUAGCGGUGAAAUGCGUAGAUAUCAGGAGGAACACCGGUGGCGAAGGCGGUUCUCUGGGCAUUACCUGACGCUGAGGAGCGAAAGUGUGGGGAGCGAACAGG